rnacentral:rRNA from 1 species
ACUAUUGUCACGGGUUACCGCGGCUGCUGGCACGGAGUUAGCCGGUGCUUCUUCUGUGAGUGAUGUCCUUCCUGCCGGCUAUUAACCCGCAGGCCUUCUUCCUCACUGAAAGUGCUUUACAACCCGAAGGCCUUCUUCACACACGCGGCAUGGCUGGAUCAGGGUUGCCCCCAUUGUCCAAUAUUCCCCACUGCUGCCUCCCGUAGGAGUCUGGGCCGUGUCUCAGUCCCAGUGUGGCUGAUCAUCCUCUCAGACCAGCUACGGAUCGUCGCCUUGGUGAGCCGUUACCUCACCAACCAGCUAAUCCGACAUAGGCUCAUCCGAUAGCGCGAGGCCCGAAGGUCCCCCGCUUUCCCCCGUAGGGCGUAUGCGGUUAGUC